rnacentral:rRNA from 1 species
ACACUAUCAUUAACUGAAUCCAUAGGUUAAUGAGGCGAACCGGGGGAACUGAAACAUCUAAGUACCCCGAGGAAAAGAAAUCAACCGAGAUUCCCCCAGUAGCGGCGAGCGAACGGGGAGGAGCCCAGAGCCUGAAUCAGUGUGUGUGUUAGUGGAAGCGUCUGGAAAGGCGCGCGAUACAGGGUGACAGCCCCGUACACAAAAAUGCACAUGCUGUGAGCUCGAUGAGUAGGGCGGGACACGUGGUAUCCUGUCUGAAUAUGGGGGGACCAUCCUCCAAGGCUAAAUACUCCUGACUGACCGAUAGUGAACCAGUACCGUGAGGGAAAGGCGAAAAGAACCCCGGCGAGGGGAGUGAAAAAGAACCUGAAACCGUGUACGUACAAGCAGUGGGAGCACAGAGCAAUCUGUGUGACUGCGUACCUUUUGUAUAAUGGGUCAGCGACUUAUAUUCUGUAGCAAGGUUAACCGAAUAGGGGAGCCGAAGGGAAACCGAGUCUUAACUGGGCGUUAAGUUGCAGGGUAUAGACCCGAAACCCGGUGAUCUAGCCAUGGGCAGGUUGAAGGUUGGGUAACACUAACUGGAGGACCGAACCGACUAAUGUUGAAAAAUUAGCGGAUGACUUGUGGCUGGGGGUGAAAGGCCAAUCAAACCGGGAGAUAGCUGGUUCUCCCCGAAAGCUAUUUAGGUAGCGCCUCGUGAAUUCAUCUCCGGGGGUAGAGCACUGUUUCGGCAAGGGGGUCAUCCCGACUUACCAACCCGAUGCAAACUGCGAAUACCGGAGAAUGUUAUCACGGGAGACACACGGCGGGUGCUAACGUCCGUCGUGAAGAGGGAAACAACCCAGACCGCCAGCUAAGGUCCCAAAGUCAUGGUUAAGUGGGAAACGAUGUGGGAAGGCCCAGACAGCCAGGAUGUUGGCUUAGAAGCAGCCAUCAUUUAAAGAAAGCGUAAUAGCUCACUGGUCGAGUCGGCCUGCGCGGAAGAUGUAACGGGGCUAAACCAUGCACCGAAGCUGCGGCAGCGACACUAUGUGUUGUUGGGUAGGGGAGCGUUCUGUAAGCCUGUGAAGGUGUGCUGUGAGGCAUGCUGGAGGUAUCAGAAGUGCGAAUGCUGACAUAAGUAACGAUAAAGCGGGUGAAAAGCCCGCUCGCCGGAAGACCAAGGGUUCCUGUCCAACGUUAAUCGGGGCAGGGUGAGUCGACCCCUAAGGCGAGGCCGAAAGGCGUAGUCGAUGGGAAACAGGUUAAUAUUCCUGUACUUGGUGUUACUGCGAAGGGGGGACGGAGAAGGCUAUGUUGGCCGGGCGACGGUUGUCCCGGUUUAAGCGUGUAGGCUGGUUUUCCAGGCAAAUCCGGAAAAUCAAGGCUGAGGCGUGAUGACGAGGCACUACGGUGCUGAAGCAACAAAUGCCCUGCUUCCAGGAAAAGCCUCUAAGCAUCAGGUAACAUCAAAUCGUACCCCAAACCGACACAGGUGGUCAGGUAGAGAAUACCAAGGCGCUUGAGAGAACUCGGGUGAAGGAACUAGGCAAAAUGGUGCCGUAACUUCGGGAGAAGGCACGCUGAUAUGUAGGUGAAGCGACUUGCUCGUGGAGCUGAAAUCAGUCGAAGAUACCAGCUGGCUGCAACUGUUUAUUAAAAACACAGCACUGUGCAAACACGAAAGUGGACGUAUACGGUGUGACGCCUGCCCGGUGCCGGAAGGUUAAUUGAUGGGGUUAGCGCAAGCGAAGCUCUUGAUCGAAGCCCCGGUAAACGGCGGCCGUAACUAUAACGGUCCUAAGGUAGCGAAAUUCCUUGUCGGGUAAGUUCCGACCUGCACGAAUGGCGUAAUGAUGGCCAGGCUGUCUCCACCCGAGACUCAGUGAAAUUGAACUCGCUGUGAAGAUGCAGUGUACCCGCGGCAAGACGGAAAGACCCCGUGAACCUUUACUAUAGCUUGACACUGAACAUUGAGCCUUGAUGUGUAGGAUAGGUGGGAGGCUUGGAAGUGUGGACGCCAGUCUGCAUGGAGCCGACCUUGAAAUACCACCCUUUAAUGUUUGAUGUUCUAACGUUGACCCGUAAUCCGGGUUGCGGACAGUGUCUGGUGGGUAGUUUGACUGGGGCGGUCUCCUCCUAAAGAGUAACGGAGGAGCACGAAGGUUGGCUAAUCCUGGUCGGACAUCAGGAGGUUAGUGCAAUGGCAUAAGCCAGCUUGACUGCGAGCGUGACGGCGCGAGCAGGUGCGAAAGCAGGUCAUAGUGAUCCGGUGGUUCUGAAUGGAAGGGCCAUCGCUCAACGGAUAAAAGGUACUCCGGGGAUAACAGGCUGAUACCGCCCAAGAGUUCAUAUCGACGGCGGUGUUUGGCACCUCGAUGUCGGCUCAUCACAUCCUGGGGCUGAAGUAGGUCCCAAGGGUAUGGCUGUUCGCCAUUUAAAGUGGUACGCGAGCUGGGUUUAGAACGUCGUGAGACAGUUCGGUCCCUAUCUGCCGUGGGCGCUGGAGAACUGAGGGGGGCUGCUCCUAGUACGAGAGGACCGGAGUGGACGCAUCACUGGUGUUCGGGUUGUCAUGCCAAUGGCACUGCCCGGUAGCUAAAUGCGGAAGAGAUAAGUGCUGAAAGCAUCUAAGCACGAAACUUGCCCCGAGAUGAGUUCUCCCUGACUCCUUGAGAGUCCUGAAGGAACGUUGAAGACGACGACGUUGAUAGGCCGGGUGUGUAAGCGCAGCGAUGCGUUGAGCUAACCGGUACUAAUGAACCGUGAGGCUUAACCUU